rnacentral:rRNA from 1 species
GGGGGGCGACUACCAUGCAAGUCGAACGGUAACAGAAAGCAGCUUGCUGCUUUGCUGACGAGUGGCGGACGGGUGAGUAAUGUCUGGGAAACUGCCUGAUGGAGGGGGAUAACUACUGGAAACGGUAGCUAAUACCGCAUAACGUCGCAAGACCAAAGAGGGGGACCUUCGGGCCUCUUGCCAUCGGAUGUGCCCAGAUGGGAUUAGCUAGUAGGUGGGGUAAAGGCUCACCUAGGCGACGAUCCCUAGCUGGUCUGAGAGGAUGACCAGCCACACUGGAACUGAGACACGGUCCAGACUCCUACGGGAGGCAGCAGUGGGGAAUAUUGCACAAUGGGCGCAAGCCUGAUGCAGCCAUGCCGCGUGUAUGAAGAAGGCCUUCGGGUUGUAAAGUACUUUCAGCGGGGAGGAAGGGAGUAAAGUUAAUACCUUUGCUCAUUGACGUUACCCGCAGAAGAAGCACCGGCUAACUCCGUGCCAGCAGCCGCGGUAAUACGGAGGGUGCAAGCGUUAAUCGGAAUUACUGGGCGUAAAGCGCACGCAGGCGGUUUGUUAAGUCAGAUGUGAAAUCCCCGGGCUCAACCUGGGAACUGCAUCUGA